UCUCGACAUUGCCUUCCUGUUUGAUCUCUUAGCGUGGAUUUGAACCGAAGCAUGUUUGAUCUCUUAGUUUUUUGGCCCAGCUUCAUUUUCCUCUUUUCGUGUUAAAAGUGAUCCUAGGACAAAACAAGAAGAUUAAUUACUGCAUUAACAAGGAUAAAUGUUAUCGUUUUUUCUUUUUCUUUUAUCAUUUCAAAAUCGAAAUCGGUUUUAUGAGUUGUGUUAUUAAAAAAGGAACGCCUGUAUUUCAACUUUAACGGUACCAGGAUAAAUUUAUAUGACUCCACCCCGUUAUUUUCGGGUUUAGAUCACAAUAAAUACGAAAAAAAUAAAUAAAAAGCUUUUUCGGCAUGGAAUGGUGGAAAAGGACGAGUUUUACCAUGCCUCCUCAAUAUGCAUGCUAAUGUUUUGAAACUGCUUUUCAAGGUCUUCGUCAAGUACCGACCUUGCAACAUUGUGAACUCCAUACGUGAACCAAAAGUUCUUGUCAACAUGUGAGUUUUACCUAGAAUGAGUCCCUGUGGUCCUCGAAUUGUUUUGAUUUGAGUUCUUCUACUAGUCUUAUGCAAUCUUUAUGGAUAUCACAACCUAAAUUUGAGCACCUGACCAGCAUAAAUUAACAUUGCCCAGCAUAAGUAUUAUAACUUGUAUAACUCUACAAUUCAUUUCAGAUUAAUAUUCCAAAAUCACACAGUUCGAAUAAAAAAUAAAUAUGCAAACCAAUCAAUUUAAUUCAUAUCUAACAUUAUUCAUUUUCAUGAUUAUACAUAUAUUAGUAUUAAUCCCAUUGCCAUAUUUCAGUACAAUUUACUCAUAGUAUAUUACAACGAUAAAAAUCUAGGAUAAGCAUCAAUAUUCACCAAUCACAUAGGAGUAGUAUAUAUGGGGCUUCUGAAGUACCAAAACACAUUUUAUCACAAAGUAAAAUCAAUUCCCAAUUAAGAGGGAAACCAUAAAACUUGAUAAUAAAUCACCAAUAAAUACCAAUCAUUUAUUAAAACCUAUCUUAAAUUUUUUUAUUCAUGAACACGGACUAAACUGUAAUUUUCCAUAAUCCAGGGGAAAAAUCAUAAUUUCCAGAGUUGAAGGACUAAACUGAAAAUAUCAUGAAUCCAUGACCAAAGUGAAACUUGAAACUCAUCAUUAUUAACCUCACUGUCAGUCUAUCUAGGAUCUCAAAAUAUGUUCCAGGGCUCAAAUUACAAUUAAAGUUUUCACAAAUUGGGGACCAGACUGAAGUUCUGUCAUCUUCAACCUCAACACAGAUUUUUUUCCAGGUUUCAAGGCUGAUUUUUCAACUCAAUUCUCCCAUAUUUACCUAUUUUCUUUCUAAUAUUAAGUUACUUAAAGUCUUACUCAAAAUUCAUCAAUUAAACAAAGAUAUACAUCAAUUCAUUCCUGUUUUAUUUCAAUUCAUAUUCAUACACAUAUACCAUUCCAUACAUCAAACAAAAUCACUAACAUAUCAAUUAACAUUACACAAACCCUAACUUUUCCAACAAGUUUAUUGUAAAGAAAAGGACUCGUAAACAAUACUAUAAAUCAAUUAGAAAGAGAUUAAGAAAAACUUACUCAAAAAGUAACUUAUAUAUUCAAUCAUCACAAGUUAGAGCUUCGAAGAAAUUCUGCAGAAAGAAGAGAGGCAAAGUAUACUGGCGUUUAAAGAAAGAAAAG
rnacentral:lncRNA from 1 species